UAAGGAAUAUUGGUCAAUGGAGGCAACUCUGAACCAGCCAUGCCGCGUGAAGGAUUAAGGCCCUCUGGGUUGUAAACUUCUUUUAUAUGGGAAGAAAUGUACUUUUUCUAAAGUGCUUGACGGUACCAUAGGAAUAAGCACCGGCUAACUCCGUGCCAACAGCCGCGGCAAUACGGAGGGUGCAAGCGUUAUCCGGAUUUACUGGGUUUAAAGGGUGCGUAGGCGGAUGAAUAAGUCAGUGGUGAAAUCUCCGAGCUUAACUCGGAAACUGCCGUUGAUACUAUUUGUCUUGAAUAUUGUGGAGGUAAGCGGAAUAUGUCAUGUAGCGGUGAAAUGCUUAGAUAUGACAUAGAACACCAAUUGCGAAGGCAGCUUGCUACACAAUCAUUGGCGCUGAGGCACGAAAGCGUGGGGAUCAAACA
rnacentral:rRNA from 1 species